UAAGCUCGCCGGCCAUCUUGGAGCAGCAAAGGAGAAGAAGAAACUCCAUUUUCUUGCUUUUUACUCUUAGUUUAAUCUUAGGAAAAAAAAUCAAAAGUGAAGGAGUGAGUUAGUGAGUGAAAUCCAUCCAACUCUAGUGUGUGAUCUUCAAGCCUUGAAGCUUUUGGUUGGUGGUUGUUUUGGGUGACUUAAUCAACUUGUAAAAGAGGAAGAUAGGAAAAGGGUAGGAGACAUACAAAAAAAGACCGAGAAAUCUGGUUCCUUUCUCCCCUCAACCUUUGGAGGAAGCAAAGAAACAGGAGAUGGAAGAGGAGAUAAACAGGAACCCAAUGAGCUUGGGAGAAGGAAGUAGCUUGCUUCAAGCUUUUACAUCUACUUCUGAUAAGUUUCUUGUUUUUAUGGCAAUAUCACGGAGGAACAAACUUUGCAGGAUUGCCGGUGGACCAUUUAUUGCCACUAGCUAUGAUUAUGAUGCUCCUCCUCAUGAAUAUGGUAUGUAGGCUGCUUCAACUCCUAAACUCAUGUUCUAAGCUUGUAGUAUUCACCUCAUUUCAUUUAGAUGCUAAUGUUUUCUAUAUUAGUUUGAAUUUUAGUAAACACGUUUUUGGGUUGGCAUUUUGAUUUUUUUAGUGGCCAUACUUGUCAGCCCCUAAGAAGCCUCAAUCUGCGAUAUCAUUUAAACUAGACAUUUGUGUCAUUUGACUAAGAGCGAUAGAGCUAAGAGAGGGGUAUUCAGUUCAAUUUUACCUUUUCAAAUAGUUUUGUGUGUUUUCUUAUUCUGGUACUUGCUAUUGUUAUUCUGAUGUACAUUCAUAUAGGUAAAUGAAUACUUGAGAGGAUUCAAGCACUGGUUUCAUAAUAACAAGUCAAAUACAUUGCCUUCUAAAGCCGACUGCUAGAAAACAUUCUUUGAUUUCAAAGUAUUGCUGCUCUCUGUUUUCAUUCCUAUGAUUUCAACUAUUUUUUUAAAAAAGAAAGAAAUUAACAACCCUUUGUAGAAAUAAAAAAACUGGAAAUGUUAUCAAAUAAGGCUCGUUUGGAUUGGAGAUUAUUUCUGAAAAAUCUGCUGAGAUAGCAAUACUUGCUUCAUCACCAACUUAAUUCUUUCUUUCUACUGCUGCUUUGUUGUAUAAUCAUAUUUACUGAUGCCUUUUUGCUUUUGGGCAUUGAGGUUUGUGUAUAUUUCUAGGCAAUGACAAUGAAAAUCUUUUCUUGAGUUAUUGAUGGGGAAAUGCAUAGAGGUCAAUUGGAGCCCAUUUCUUGGCUCGACAACCUAGAUUGCAUGUGGGAUGAGAUGGGACGCAUUUGCAUAUGUAACUAGGAAUUUGCAGCCACGGUGGUGCCUCCCUCCAUUUUGUCUCCUCUUUUUACAAACCUGAGCCUGAUUGAUCAUUGCUUGUACCUUCUCUGUAUUUUUUAAUUACUUGAUUGCUUUUGUUUCAGUCUUGUGGUAUGUUGAUUUAUUGGUGGAUGAAUGCCAUUGGAAACAAUACGUUGAUAGACCUAGAAACAUCUAUUUCAUUAAUCCAAAAGGAACCAAGAAAUUUUAUGCAGCAAUUAUCUGUUAUGAAACAUAAUUUUUGACUUUUACUGCAUUUGUCUUAUUAGUGACUAUCGUGGUUACGACCAAAGACCAGUUAAAGAAUAUUUUCCUAGCUCCUACUAUUUUGGUUAUAAUUUUCCACUUGUUUUGGGCUCAAUAAGUAGAAUCUGCAGUCAAUCAUGAAUUGUUUAAUAUAAUUUGGUUUCUGAUUCAAUUUUGGUUUUAGAAAGUUGGUGUUGGUCAUACACUGAUUAAUUUUUGGCACAGAUAAGCACUACUAAGUUCAAUACCUUGCUUCUUUGGAAGGGAAUUAUUCAAUGGAUGGAUCCUAACUGGGGGAAUAAUAACUUUAACAUAUCUCACUCUUCAAUCAUUUUGCAAUUGUUUUUAUUAUAUUAGUUUCUCUAGUUCUACACAUGGACAUGGACUUCUCUUUAAUUACCUGAUUCUAUAAUGUUGUGCUUCAAUGGGUAUCGCAUGAACAUCUCUGAGGCACUUUAGGCUUUGACACUACAACUUCUGGUCAACUUCAAAUAUCAACUAUGCUUUGUUGGCUGGGUUGGAGGAUUUUGAUAGCAUUUUAGUACGUGCAAAUAUCAGUUUUGAAAAAUUGCAGGAUCUUCAACAUUCACGUUAGGAUAAUCUGCACUAUGGUAGAUCAGAAGAGAGAUGAUGUCAACAUGUAGUAAAAAAUUAGCAAAAUCUUUAGUUAUGCUGAUUUACAUUUUUAAAGAAGACAGAGCCUAAAUUGGUCUUUAUUGCUAUCCUUUGCUGUUUUGGUUUCGUUUUAAGCACAUAUAGAAGACAACAAUAUAUGCUAAUGAUAGUCCUUCUGUUUGCAUAUCUUGAGUUUUAGUAGUUUAGUUUAGAGAAUUGAAGCUUCAAAUUUUACAACAUAACAUGGAAGCCAGCCAUUUGUUCUCUUAUGCUACAAUAAGUUCUAAUUGGUACUUCAUAAAAAGGAAAAAAAAAAUUGUACUUAGUACUUGAUGAAGGAACUAUUCCUUUAGUGGACUUUAUUGUUGAUGUGUUUUUUUUUUUGUUUCAAGAUGUUUACUAAUGAGAAUAAAAUAAUUUCUUACUUUCGGGGCUCCUAUAAAAGACCUUGCUCAGUGGCCUUCCCAAGUUUCCAACUUCUUUGUCGAGAUAAGCAGCAUGACUCUCUUACUUCGAUCUCACAGCAACUGCUUAAUCGCUCUUAUUUUGGACAUCCUAGCAGCGGCUUAAUUGCUACCACAAAUUAGCAAUAGACUUUUAUUAUAUAAAAGUAUAUAUAUAACUUCGAAUAUCAAUCUUUUGAGGUUUACGGCCUCUGUAGUUAGUUCAAGUUAUAUUCCCUAUUUAUGUCUUAUUUUAAGUGUUCAAAUUGUGUAUUUGGUUUAUUGUAGGCAAGUCCAUUUAACUUGGACUUUGGUUAAUCAACUCACUGACGAUGUUUAUUUUCAUUUUUCUGCAUCAAUAUACCAAGUAUCCUAUAUUAGGUUAAGUAUCGAGUUCUGUGUAUUUGUAAUCUAUGACUCUCUAUGGAGCAUACAUCAUGAUAUAUUGAUUUAUGGCUUUUAGUGUG